AAGACUGCUUUCAGGGCUCAUUUCUAUAGUUUGUUACUAGAGAAGUUUGCCUGAAUGUGUGAGUACUAGAAACCAUGAGGAGCAGUCACUUUGUCUCCUGAGUCUGAAAUGGCUCUUGGUGUUGCUUCAGUGCAAAUGCCUCGAUGAUUGUUCUUUUCCUUUGGGAGAGGGAGAGAGGUUACAUUGA
rnacentral:snoRNA from 1 species